rnacentral:rRNA from 1 species
UGCGUUGUUGGGUAGGGGAGCGUUCUGUAAGCCUGCGAAGGUGGCCUGUGAGGGUUGCUGGAGGUAUCAGAAGUGCGAAUGCUGACAUAAGUAACGAUAAAGCGGGUGAAAAGCCCGCUCGCCGGAAGACCAAGGGUUCCUGUCCAACGUUAAUCGGGGCAGGGUGAGUCGACCCCUAAGGCGAGGCCGAAAGGCGUAGUCGAUGGGAAACGGGUUAAUAUUCCCGUACUUGGUGUUACUGCGAAGGGGGGACGGAGAAGGCUAUGUUGGCCGGGCGACGGUUGUCCCGGUUUAAGCGUGUAGGUGUGUGUUCCAGGUAAAUCCGGUUCACUUUAACACUGAGGCGUGACGACGAGGCACUACGGUGCUGAAGCAACAAAUGCCCUGCUUCCAGGAAAAGCCUCUAAGCAUCAGGUAACAUCAAAUCGUACCCCAAACCGACACAGGUGGUCAGGUAGAGAAUACCAAGGCGCUUGAGAGAACUCGGGUGAAGGAACUAGGCAAAAUGGUGCCGUAACUUCGGGAGAAGGCACGCUGACACGUAGGUGAAGUGAUUUACUCAUGGAGCUGAAGUCAGUCGAAGAUACCAGCUGGCUGCAACUGUUUAUUAAAAACACAGCACUGUGCAAACACGAAAGUGGACGUAUACGGUGUGACGCCUGCCCGGUGCCGGAAGGUUAAUUGAUGGGGUCAGCGCAAGCGAAGCUCCUGAUCGAAGCCCCGGUAAACGGCGGCCGUAACUAUAACGGUCCUAAGGUAGCGAAAUUCCUUGUCGGGUAAGUUCCGACCUGCACGAAUGGCGUAAUGAUGGCCAGGCUGUCUCCACCCGAGACUCAGUGAAAUUGAACUCGCUGUGAAGAUGCAGUGUACCCGCGGCAAGACGGAAAGACCCCGUGAACCUUUACUAUAGCUUGACACUGAACAUUGAGCCUUGAUGUGUAGGAUAGGUGGGAGGCUUUGAAGUGUGGACGCCAGUCUGCAUGGAGCCGACCUUGAAAUACCACCCUUUAAUGUUUGAUGUUCUAACGUGGACCCGUGAUCCGGGUUGCGGACAGUGUCUGGUGGGUAGUUUGACUGGGGCGGUCUCCUCCUAAAGAGUAACGGAGGAGCACGAAGGUUGGCUAAUCCUGGUCGGACAUCAGGAGGUUAGUGCAAUGGCAUAAGCCAGCUUGACUGCGAGCGUGACGGCGCGAGCAGGUGCGAAAGCAGGUCAUAGUGAUCCGGUGGUUCUGAAUGGAAGGGCCAUCGCUCAACGGAUAAAAGGUACUCCGGGGAUAACAGGCUGAUACCGCCCAAGAGUUCAUAUCGACGGCGGUGUUUGGCACCUCGAUGUCGGCUCAUCACAUCCUGGGGCUGAAGUAGGUCCCAAGGGUAUGGCUGUUCGCCAUUUAAAGUGGUACGCGAGCUGGGUUUAGAACGUCGUGAGACAGUUCGGUCCCUAUCUGCCGUGGGCGCUGGAGAACUGAGGGGGGCUGCUCCUAGUACGAGAGGACCGGAGUGGACGCAUCACUGGUGUUCGGGUUGUCAUGCCAAUGGCACUGCCCGGUAGCUAAAUGCGGAAGAGAUAAGUGCUGAAAGCAUCUAAGCACGAAACUUGCCCCGAG